AGAAAACUGUGGCACCAACCCAAGAUUCUAAUACUUAGUCAAGAAAAUGCUACAGCUUGUUGUAGCUCCCCCAGAGCAAGCAGCUCUCCUUGGAAUGGCGUCCCCAAGCUUCACGGCAGAGUUCUUACACCAUGGUCAGGAGGGCGUGCCUCACAAGUGCACAUCCUGCUCUAGCUAGGACCAUUGUGCCUGAGUUUGCAUCUGUGCUGCAUCCUAUGCUGAUGUGCUGGCUUGAACCACAUGUGAAUCUCAAAAACCCCUUCUUUGUCUUUGAAGGUAUUGGCAGCGUGUCAGUUGGCCACCAGUUACGAAGAGCUUCCCCAUUUCCGAAAUCCCCCAGCUUCUCAAGGGUCUGCGAACUGGAGAAACCAGUUAUGCUAAAGGAGUCAUAGACCCAUUCUUUUCUCUUUUGGAGGGCUGGGGUGGGGAAUGGUAGAGUGGAACAACAUCUUCUAUUCAUCUACUCCUUCAAGAAGCAUUUACAGAGCUCUCCUCUGUGGCAGGCCCUACCCAAGAGGUGGAAAAGAGAAAUCUGGACACAUCGUAUGUCUCGGUUUUCCAAAGGCAUUUCACGAAAUCAGUAAUAAACUCUGUUGGGCUGAAUGGUGGCCCCUGAAGAUAUCAGGUCCUCAUACUUGAAACCUAUGAAUGUUACCUUAUAUGGUAAAGGCUUUGUAGAGGUGAUUAAGUUAAGGAUCUUGAGUUGGAGAGAUUAUCCUGGAUUAGCCAGUUAGGCCCUAAAUGCCAUUUAAUGUAUCCUUAUAUGAGAAGGAGGCAGAGAAAUAAUGACAUGCACAGAGGAGAAAGCGAUGUAAAGAUGGAGCAGGAAAGAUUUAAAGAUGCUGGCGAUGGAGAUUGGAGUGAGACAGCUACACACCGAGGAACACUGCAGCCAGGGGGAACUGGAAGAGGUGGAGAACAGAUUCUCCCCACAGAGCUGCUGGAGGAGUGAGGGAUUUUGGCCCGUUGAUUUUGGCCCACUGAAACAAGUAUGGGACUUCUGGCCUCCAGAACGAUGAGAGAAUAAAUUUGUGUUUGUUGACUCCUCCAAACUUGAAGUAAUUUGUUAUACAGUAGUCCCAGGACCAUCCUUGCAGGUAAAAUGGAGACAUGGAUCUAGAAGACAGUGCAAGUAGGUGUCAAGGUAUUUGACCAACUCUCUAUUAUUCAAUCACGUGGGAAAUACUUACUGAGUGACUACGGUGCUCCAGGCAUUAGCGCAGUGGAUAAGGCAGAUAAUAUCCCCGCUGGCACUGGGGUAGGCGGAAGGAGCAGGUAAUAAAAAGGUAAAUGAAAAAUGUGAACAAGAUAACUUUAGUGAUUGACAACUGCCUUAAAGAAAACAAAACAGAGUAAUGUGGAGUGGGGGAUGGGGAUCCUUUUAGACUAGGUAGUAGGAAACCCUUUCUGGUGAGAAAACCUCGGAGCUGAGUCCUAAAGAUCGUGGAGCAGCUACCAUCUGGAGGGAGAGCAUUCCAAGUAGAGUGAGCGGCAAGUGCAGAGGCUCUGAGGUGGGAAUAAGCUUCCUGUGUGAGAGAAGCAAACAGAAGGCCCAGACCCCUCUAAGUCAACAGGGAGGUCAUUGCUCAGGGAGGGCUGCAGGAUUCUGUCCUAGGCUCUGCCCUGUACAGUUUUCAUUUUUUAUAAUUACAUUGGAAGAAAACGCAUCAUAAAUGUGCAGACAAUAUAAAGCUGGUAGGAUGUGUAUUGGGUUAGAGUCAGGGGUUGAUUUUCAAAACACCUUGACAGGCACGAACAAAACGAUGAACUUCAACAGGGACAAAUUGUGAAAUCCUGACUUGGGUCUAAGAAAAAGUAUUUGCCUAAGUCAAGAAUGGGAACCCGACUUGAGUGCAGUACUGGUGUGAAGUCCCUGAAGCUGAGUGUCAGCACAUAGCAUGAUGUGACUGCCAUAAAAAAGUCAAGCACUUUUACAACUUUUUAAAACUAUGGAGUACAACUCCAGGGAGGAAGUAGCCAGGAGUCUGUUUGUGGAGGACUGAGUGGGUAUCACUUUUUAUGGGGUCAUAGAAACAGCUCAUUAUUUGUUUAUUCAAUUAAUGUUUAAUAAGCACAUAUUAUGUGCCUGGCACUGACUAGGCUUUGGGGUAAAUAACAGUGAAUAGGAUAGAAACAUUUGAUGACUUCAUAGAACUUAUUAAUUCUAGGGAGAAGAUAGACAUGGCAGACUUAAUUAUGCACCUAUCUUUUUCACUGUAUUAGAUGUUUUCAGAUUAUAAAAUUAUAGUAAUAAAAUAGCAAUAUCAAAUAUUACUGAACUAUAUAACAUAGGAAAAAAUAUGCCCUGUCAACUCAUCCUCCCUCCCUAGACAUAGCCACUGUCAACCAGUUUGUGCAUAUUUUUGCAACUUUUAAAAUAUACAUGCAGUGUAUUUUUAAAGCAUACAAGGGGGAAUCAUACACUUCUGAAUUUUGUUUUUUAGCUUCAUAUAUCUGGGAUAUCCUCUCACAUGAACACUAGGAAAUCUACCUCAUUCUUUUUAAUGUCUGAAUAAUAUUUCAUGCUAUGGAUGUAUUAUAGUUUAUUUGACUAGUAUCUUGUUGAUAGAUAUGUGUGCUGUUUCCAUUUUCACUAUUAUAAGGAUUUGCAAACAAUUGUUCUACAUACCUUUUUAUAUAGCCUAUGGUCAUAUUUCUAAAGGACAAAUUCAUAGAAGUGGGAAUACUGGCUGGGCAUGGUGGCUCACGCUGGCUCACUGUGACAUCUGUAAUCCCAGCACUUUGGGAGGGCGAGAUGGGCGGAUCACCUGAGAUCAGGAGUUUGAGACCAGCCUAGCCAACAUGGCAAAACCUUGUCCCUACUAAAAGUAUAAAAAUUAGCUGGGUAUGGUUGCGUGUACCUGUAAUCCCAGCUACUCAGGAGGCAGAGGCAGGAGAACUGCUUGGACCCAGGAGGUGGAAGUUGCCGUGAGCUGAGAUCAAGCCACUGCACUCCAGCCUGGGCCACAGAGCGAGACUCUUUCUUGCAAAAAAAGAAAAAAAAAAAAGUGGAAAUACUGUGUCAAAAGAUAUGGAAAAUUUAAAUGAUAGAUACCAUGUUUCUUACCAGUCAGGAUGUACCUCAAUGAGAGUGCAAAUGAGACCACAUGUUUUCUUGCAGUCUCCACAUUCUAGGCAGUGUAGACAGUGCAAAAGGUCCUGUGGUAGAGGGAACCUGGUGUAUCAGCAGGACUGAAGAUCCCCUGGGGGCAGAGAGCAGAGAGCCAGGUGGGGAGUGAAGAGGGAGGCAUGGGCCAGACCUUGCAGGGCCUUGUGAUUCAUCUUGAGGGUUUUGGUCCUUAUCCCAAGAGAAAGGAGAAGCCAAAGGGAAUUUCAUGCAAUCUGACAUGAUGAGAUAGGCAUUUUGAACAGGUGCCUCUGGCUGCCGUUAUGGGGAAUGGACUGGGAAGAUGGAAAAGUAGAUGUGAAGAGCACCUGGGGUGGCUGUUUUGGGAAUCCAGGUGAGAGAUGAUGGUAGCCUGGACUCGGGUGGAGGUGGCCAUGGAGAGGAGUGGUUACAUUUAACAGUUUUUUAGGCCACAGAACUGAUGGAAGCUGAUGCCUGAGUGGGCUUAGGUGGGGACUGAGGAAGAAGGCAGUGUCCUGGAAGAAAGAUGGAAUGGGAGUUAUCAUUGGGAUGAUGAGAUGUCAAAGGAGCAGGUGAUGAUUGGCCAAAAACGUGAAGAUCCAGAGGAGAUACCUGUUUUAGAGAGCAGCCUUUGCACCCUUGUCUCUCAUGCCCACAGCUCCAUCAAAGGCAGGCUGACUAUGGGAUUCUGCCACCAUGGCCACAGUCGAUUGGAGUGGGAAAGUACCUGAGCCAUGGCCAUAACGUGGUCUGGGGUAAAAGCCUGCCCACGAAGGCGACAGUGCCAAAUGCAGCUGAGGAGAUGUCCUUCAUGGAAUUUGAAGGAGAACCCAAGUGAGUGACAAUGUUUGGAGGUGGGGAGUCAAAAGAAAGUCCACACAAGGAGAGGGCAGGAAAUGGAAGUCAUAAGUUAAAGUCACAAGGAAAGAAGGACAGAAGAGAGGAGCAGGUGCGGGAGAAGGGGCUGAAGACCCAUAGAGCGCUAGAGAGGGAUGGAUGACCUCUGUCCCCAGUUAUGACUGAGUGCUUAAGAGCCAGGCUUUCAAGCUGAGUGGAUCUGAGUUUGAUUUCCCACCUCUUAUGCUAACUAGCUCAGUGACCUUGAACAAGCCACCCGACUUCUCUAAGACUGUUCUGUUCAUAGACAUUAAAGUAUGUAUUUCUUGGAGUUGUUGUGAGCUUUAAAGAGAUAUGCAUGAAUGCUAAAGACGAUAUUUACAACACAAAACCACCAGAGAAUUGGUCUCCAGACUUUUUAAAAAACACAAAAGUUUUUUACGAAUCAGUAAGAAAAAGGCAGGCAGCCCAGUAGAUAAACAGGCAAAAUACUUGAACAGACACUUAACAAAAGAGGAUAGUAAACUGGUCAAAACAAUGAAAAGAUGAUAGACAUCAUUAAUAAAGAGAAACACAGUGAGAUUCCUUAUGCAACAUUGUGGACGAAUCCUUGAACGCCACGUUGAGCAAAAGAAGCAAGAUAGAGAUGAAUGCAUGAAGUAUGAUUCAAUGUAUUUAAAGUUUAAAAGACCAGGCAUUAAAACUCCAAUUAAAUAUUUCAUACUCUCAUCAGAGGGGCAUAUAUGAAAAACUGGAUGAUACCAACUGUCGGUGAGGAUACAGUACAACAGGAAAUCUAUCUGCUGCUGAUGGAAUGUAGGUUAGUAUAACCAUUUUGGAAAACACACAGGCAUUAUCGAAUAAAACUAAAACAACCCAGUAAUUUUGUUCUUGGGUGUGUGUAUAUAAGAGGAACUUUUCACAUAUACCAUGUAUACAUAUACAUAUAUGAUAUAUGUAUGUGUAUAGACAUAUACACACAUACAAGCAUGUUCAUAAUUUUAUUGCUA
ensembl:lincRNA